UCGGGGGUGGUGUAAUCGGUAGCACGGCAGCCUUUGGAGCUGUCCAGUUCAGGUUCGAGUCCUGACCCCCGAG
rnacentral:tRNA from 1 species